rnacentral:rRNA from 1 species
GACGAACGCUGGCGGCAGGCCUAACACAUGCAAGUCGAGCGAGCGGCGGACGGGUGAGUAAUGUAUGGGGACUGCCUGAUAGAGGGGGAUAACUACUGGAAACGUUGGCUAAUACCGCAUACUAUCGGAUAACCCAUAUAAGAUUAGCUCUUAGGUGGGGUAACGGCUCCCCAAGGCGACGAUCUCUAGCUGGUCUGAGAGGAUGAUCAGCCACACUGGGACUGAGACACGGCCCAGACUCCUACGGAGGCAGCAGUGUGGAAUAUUGCACAAUGGGCGCAAGCCUGAUGCAGCCAUGCCGCGUGUAUGAAGAAGGCCUUAGGGUUGUAAAGUACUUUCAGCGGGGAGGCGUUACCCGCAGAAGGAGCACCGGCUAACUCCGUGCCAGCAGCCGCGGUAAUUC